GUUAAAUACUGACACUAUUUGUGUUGUAGGAAAAGUCGAGUCCUGUCCUGGUCCAAGGACGCACCGGGAUUAGAUUAACAGUCCACUGCAUGAGUGAAAAUAUGGAUCCCUCAACGACCAGUGAGUGAAAACAUUACCUUACUUUGUUGUUAUU